UACAGAGGUCCCGAGCGUUGUUCGGAUUCACUGGGCGUAAAGGGUGCGUAGGUGGUGAGGUAAGUCGGAUGUGAAAUCUCCGGGCUCAACCCGGAAAUGGCAUUGGAAACUACCUUGCUGGAGGAUUUGAGGGGGGAUUGGAAUACUUGGUGUAGCAGUGAAAUGCGUAGAUAUCAAGUGGAACACCAGUGGCGAAGGCGAAUCCCUGGAAAAUACCUGACACUGAGGACACGAAAGCUAGGGGAGCAAACAGG
rnacentral:rRNA from 1 species